UACGUAGGGGGCAAGCGUUGUCCGGAAUCAUUGGGCGUAAAGAGCGUGUAGGCGGCUUGGUAAGUCCGCUGUGAAAGUCCAGGGCUCAACCCUGGAAUGCCGGGUGGAAACUGUCAAGCUUGAGUCCGGAAGAGGCGAGUGGAAUCCUGGUGUAGCGGUGAAAUGCGCAGAUAUCAGGAGGAACACCAAUGGCGAAGGCAGCUCGCUGGGACGGUACCUGACGCUGAGACGCGAAAGCGUGGGGAGCAAACAGG
rnacentral:rRNA from 1 species